UCAGGAUGAACGCUAGCGGCAGGCUUAACACAUGCAAGGUCGAGGGGCAGCGGGUCUAGCAAUAGAUGCCGGCGACCGGCGAAAGGGUGAGUAACGCGUGAGCAACGUGCCCGUAUGUGGGGGAUAGUCGAUGGAAACGUCGCGUAAUAUCCCGUAACACAUUUGGCCGCAUGGCCUUAUGUUGAAAGAUUUAUUGCAUACGGAUCGGCUCGCGUGCCAUUAGGUAGACGGCGGGGUAACGGCCCACCGUGCCGACGAUGGCUAGGGGUUCUGAGAGGAAGGUCCCCCACAUUGGAACUGAGACACGGUCCAGACUCCUACGGGAGGCAGCAGUGAGGAAUAUUGGACAAUGGCCGGAAGGCUGAUCCAGCCAUGCCGCGUGCGGGAAGAACCGGCCCUAUGGGUUGUAAACCGCUUUUGCGGGGGAGCAAUAAGAGUCACGUGUGGCUCGAUGAGAGUACCCUGCGAAUAAGCAUCGGCUAACUCCGUGCCAGCCGCUGC
rnacentral:rRNA from 1 species